AUCCAGCUGACGAAUCCCAAAUAGGACGAAACGCUCGUCCUGGAU
rfam:Schistosoma rodhaini strain Burundi genome assembly, scaffold: SROB_scaffold0007101